AGAAUUUGAUCUUGGUUCAGGAUGAACGCUAGCUACAGGCUUAACACAUGCAAGUCGAGGGGCAGCAUGAUCUUAGCUUGCUAAGAUUGAUGGCGACCGGCGCACGGGUGAGUAACGCGUAUCCGAACCUUCCCUAUAGUAGGGGAUAGCCCGUAGAAAUGCGGAUUAAUACCCUAUGUUGUAUUUCGAUGACAUCUGACGAAUACCAAAGGUUCACCGCUAUAGGAUGGGGAUGCGUCUGAUUAGGUAGUCGGCGGGGUAACGGCCCACCGAGCCAACGAUCAGUAGGGGUUCUGAGAGGAAGGUCCCCCACAUUGGAACUGAGACACGGUCCAAACGUCCUACGGGAGGCAGCAGUGAGGAGUAUUGGUCAAUGGGCGAGAGCCUGAACCAGCCAAGUAGCGUGCAGGAUGACGGCCCUAUGGGUUGUAAACUGCUUUUAUACGGGGAUAAAGUGGGCCACGUGUGGCUUUUUGUAGGUACCGUAUGAAUAAGGACCGGCUAAUUCCGUGCCAGCCGCAGC
rnacentral:rRNA from 1 species